rnacentral:lncRNA from 1 species
UGAAGAAACAGAAACAAUGUGAUGACCUCUUGGCCUGAUCCAGUCUGUGUCUUUUCCCUACCACACCAUCUGGCAGAGUCCACACCGUUGAGAGAAUAACAUACAGAAAAGGUUAGACAUUUCCAUUCAAACCUCAGCAAUUAAGUGACAGGAAGGGAGCCCCACAGGUGUCUAGGAUAAAGGACUUGUCCUUACUAGCUCUAGGGACAGAGUAAUAUUCCUUCAGAGAUAAACUAAGAAAUACCCGGCAACCUUCCAAAUAAGAAACGCCUUUCUGUUGGAUAACUUGUAGGUGACACUGUUGGAGUCUCUUCUUAUCGGAAUCCUGUUUUAAAAUGUAUCCCAUUUUCAAUCAAGCCUAGACCAACUGGAGUCUUGAAAGACAACUUCGACUGGGGAUGGGGAAGGGCUGACCACAUAAACUGCAUUUUUCAACUGUUUGGAGCCUGAGUUUUGUUCCCUGUUCCCAGAAAGGCACAUCCUUAACACACAACACAGAGAUGUUUCAGCGUGAGGACACUGUCCUCCUGGUCCACCUCAUUGUGUGUGCCAUCAGAAGGGUUAACUUGUUCGCUUGGCAUGAGGCGCGUUUAUUAUAAAACUCUAUUCUCAAACUAAUUACAUCUG